rnacentral:rRNA from 1 species
GAUGAACGCUAGCGGCAGGCCUAAUACAUGCAAGUCGAGGGGUAGAGGUUGCUUGCAACCUUGAGACCGGCGCACGGGUGCGUAACGCGUAUGCAACCUACCUUGAUCUGGGGGAUAGCCCGAAGAAAUUCGGAUUAACACCGCAUAAAAUCACAGUACCGCAUAGUACAAUGAUCAAAUAUUUAUAGGAUUGAGAUGGG